GGAGGGUCUAUAGCUCAGUGGUAGAGCAUCUGCCUUUCAUGCAGAAGGUCCCAAGUUCAAUCCCUGGCAUCUCCA